AUUGAACGCUGGCGGCAGGCCUAACACAUGCAAGUCGAGCGGAGCGGCGGACGGGUGAGUAAUGCCUGGGAAUCUGCCUGGUAGUGGGGGAUAACGUCCGGAAACGGGCGCUAAUACCGCAUACUAUCAGAUGAGCCUAGGUCGGAUUAGCUAGUUGGUGGGGUAAAGGCCUACCAAGGCGACGAUCCGUAACUGGUCUGAGAGGAUGAGCAGUCACACUGGAACUGAGACACGUUCCAGCCUCCGACGGUAGUGAGCAGGGGGGAAUAGUGGACUAUGGGUGAAAGCCUGAUCCAGCCAUGCCGCGUGUGGGAAGAAGGUCUUCGGAUUGUAAAGCUCUUUAAGUUGGGAGGCGUGACCAACAGAAUAAGCACCGGCUAACUUCGUGCCAGCAGCCGGGUAAUAC
rnacentral:rRNA from 1 species